rnacentral:rRNA from 1 species
UACAGAGGUCUCAAGCGUUGUUCGGAUUCAUUGGGCGUAAAGGGUGCGUAGGCGGCGCGGUAAGUCGGAUGUGAAAUCUCGGAGCUUAACUCCGAAACUGCAUUCGAUACUGCCGUGCUUGAGGACUGGAGAGGAGACUGGAAUUUACGGUGUAGCGGUGAAAUGCGUAGAUAUCGUAAGGAAGACCAGUGGCGAAGGCGGGUCGCUGGGACGGUACUGACGCUGAGACGCGAAAGCGUGGGGAGCAAACAGGAU